CUUCUGGAGACACUACCCAGAUCUUUUUCAGCAUCAGGACAAGCAAGCAGCUUAGAGCUCCCGCAAGACUCCUGGAGACAUCAGAACUCUCCAUCCUGUGGCCCAGCAGAGGUCUGUGGUUUUUACUGCUAAUGGAAAUUGAACUGACAGAUCAAAGGUAAUGUCUCCUACAGCCCAGAUUGCCAGCAGCCAGCACUAUCAGAAUAUCGGUUGAAUUGGUAAUUCAAAAUUAAGUGGAUUAAUGAUUGACGUCAAUUUGUAAAACCUGGCCUACGAACUCACCUCCUGCAAACAGGGCCUUUCUUAUUCUGGGUCAGCUGGGAGCAUGGAGCUUCCCAGAUGGGAGUUCGUUGAGCUCUAGCCAUACGCUGCCCUCCCCCAAUCCCAACCCUGAUUUUAAAGGGCCUCUGUUAAAAAUACACCAUUCCUGUUAGAUGUCUUAGAAAAGUCUUAGCACCUGAGAUCACUUUUAAAGAAAUAAACUCACGAAUUUAAGCCAAAAGGGAAAAGCCUGGUACAAUUUUGCACCUGUAACACAUGAGUCACUUGAUUAAAGAAAUACUCAAAUAUCAAGUUUGUGAUUCUCUCUGUGUGGGCAGGAAAGUGGGGGGCAUGUGGAGGGUGAAAAAUGCCUCAGCUGCACUAACUUACAAAUCCUAACCAAUGUCUGAAUAUUCUGGGGCUGUCCACGUUUUGGAAAACGACUUUUCCCCUGUGAGUGCUUUAUUUGAUGGUCAGAGGGAGACUGAAGAAGGGAACAGCUGCCGGAGGAUUUCAAAGCCUUCUCUGGCAGCAACGCAAGAUUACUCACCUCCCCCCUCGACACCACCGCUACCCAGUACACAUCUCUGAAAGCAUCUGCAGGUUCUGCAGCACUUGAAAUUGGGACAUAGCUCAUGAGUUCUUCACCACUUGGUGGGAUCUUCAGGGGACAAUGCUGUGAGCAUCUCAUCUGCUACCUGCCCCUCCCUGCUCACAGGCACAGCCAGCCUGAAGCAGAGAUGCCCUUCUACAAAAUCACAAGGGGACAAAAGCAGGAGCCCAAGGAUCUCCAGAGAGAGUGAGCUGCCAGCUGGUGACCAGUAACUGCCAGGACUUCCUGUCCUUUGGAAGAAAUUUCUGGGAAACAAUCUAGACUUCUUAGAGGGAAGGCAUCAUGAGCAGGAACCCAGGUUCCUCAGGAGGCCAUGGGCUACCAGCUGGUAGUCACGACUCCCAGAGUAAAGAGACAGGAGCUUGUGGUUCCCGCUUCCUCCCAGUGAUUGCCUGGAUAUGAUGGACCAUGGUGGGAUCACAACGCAAACUUGAGACUAUGAUGUUAACCCGGUGGUGCCAGCCAGGAUGGGAGUUCUCCAGGCUUGAACAGAGCUGGUGAGGGCCUUAAAAUCAAUUGAGUGUCUUGUUUUCUACUGGAUCCCUGACAGAGAAGGACAAACACUCAAAAUGGGGUCAGCACUGCCUGGUUCAAAUCCUCAUUCUGUCAUUCCCAAGUCUGUGACCUUGGGAUAGUUAUUUUACCUCCUUGGCCUCCAUUUUGUCAUCAGUGGAAUGGAAGUGAUAAUUGUGAAAGUGCUUUCUAACACAAGCCAGUAAGAGCUGUGUACAUAUUUACUGUUUUUAUUACUAGCGGUCAAUGAU
rnacentral:lncRNA from 1 species